rnacentral:rRNA from 1 species
GACGAACCGUGCGAGCGUUAAUCGGAAUUACUGGGCGUAAAGCGUGCGUAGACGGCUAUCUAAGUCGGGUGUGAAAUCCCUCGGCUUAACCGGGGAACUGCGUCUGAUACUGGAUGGCUUGAGUUCGGGAGAGGGAUGCGGAAUUCCAGGUGUAGCGGUGAAAUGCGUAGAUAUCUGGAGGAACACCGGUGGCGAAGGCGGCAUCCUGGACCGAUACUGACGCUGAGGAGCGAAAGCCAGGGGAGCGAACGGG